rnacentral:rRNA from 1 species
UACGGGGGGAGCAAGCGUUGUUCGGAUUUACUGGGCGUAAAGGGCGCGUAGGCGGCCACCGCAAGUCACUUGUGAAAUCUCCGGGCUUAACCCGGAAAGGUCAACUGAUACUGCGGGGCUAGAGUGCAGAAGGGGCAACUGGAAUUCUCGGUGUAGCGGUGAAAUGCGUAGAUAUCGAGAGGAACACCGGUGGCGAAGGCGGCCAUCUGGACGGUGACUGACGCUGAGACGCGAAAGCGUGGGGAGCAAACAGG